rnacentral:lncRNA from 1 species
GCUGCGGGCCCUGCCUCCCUGCCUGCCGCCCUCCAUCCCUUCCUCUCCGUCCAUCCUUCGUCUCCUUCUGUUCCCGCUCUCCUCGCUCCUUUCCUGCCUUGGCACUUCUGUUUUCUCCUCUCCUUAGCGCUCCUCCAUUUUUCAUCUACUUCUUUUUCCGCCCCAGGUUGUCCACUUUUUUUUUGUUUUUUGAGACGGUGUCUUGCUCUUUCACCCAGGCCAGAGUGCAGUGGGGCGAUCUUGGCUCACUGCAAGCUCCGCCUCCCGGGUUCACACCAUUCUCCUGCCUCAGCCUCCCGAGUAGCUGGGACUACAGGCGCCCGCCACCGCGCCCGGCUCAUUUUUUGUAUUUUUAGUAGAGACGGGGUUUCACCGUGUUAGCCAGGAUGGUCUCCAUCUCCUGACCUCGUGAUCCGCCCACCUCCGCCUCCCAAAGUGCUGGGAUGGCAGGCGUGAGCCACCGCGCCCGGCUGGGUUGUCCACUUUUAUCUCCUCUUUUCCUUGAUCGUCCUCCCCUUUUUUUCUCCUCUUCCUUUUCCUUAAGCCUUCGCCUGUCAAUCACGUCGAAACACAGUAUUUGACCGGAGCCAGUAUCUUGAUCUGCCUAAAGACAAGACAUUCAAUCGUGAACAGUCGAAUAUUAUUCCUUCCUCAAUUAUACAAAGAAGACUUCCUGCAGUGAGGACGGCGGGACCAGACAGACACGUGUAUUCACUCUGGUGUUGAGUGACCGGCCAGCGCGUUCCGGAAUCCAGAGAAAUCUCAGGACCCUGGGGCUGAAGUGGUUGGGAAAAGCUUCCUGAAGGUCCUUCCUGAGAUAAAGCUGGAAAGAGGGGCAGACUCUUCGUAAGUACAGACUAUUUUGGGCAGGGUCAAGGGUGAGAGAUGAGACUGAAGUGUGUGCACAGGAGAUGAAAGAGACCAACCUGGCUGCCCGGAGCUGGAUGGAAGUGCAGAGGGCCUCAAACACCAGGGUGGUGAGGCUGGAUCCAACCAGAGGCCUCUGACAGAGUCCAGGUAACCCUGAGCUCUGGCCCCAAUGUCCUGCUCCUGACCUCUGUGCCCUGGGCCAGUCCACAUCCUGACUCACACCAGGCCCCAUUCCCAUCUGAGCUCACCUUGGCCUGCGUCUUCGUCUGUUUUCUGUUGCUAUCACAGAAUAUCACAGACUGAGUAAUUUACAACGAAGAGAAGUGUAUUAGGCUGGCAGCGCAGGAGGCCGGGAAGUCUGAGAUCAAGGGGCCAGCAUCUGGUGAGGGCCCUGCUGACGUGUCAUCCUGUGGCAGUAAGUGGAAGGACGGGGUGUGUGUGCUCCAGAGACAGACCAAGAAGGGACCGAACUCGCUUUGAUAACAAACCCACUCCCAUGAUGAUAGCAUUGAUGGGCUCAGGAGGGCCCAGCCCUUGUGACCUCAUCACCUCUUAAAGGUCCCACCUCUCCGUGCUAUUGCACUGGGGACUAGGCUGCCAGUGCAGGAACUCUAGGGGACACUUUUAAGCCACGGCAGCUUCUCUGUCCCGACUCCCGUGGCCUUCCUGACUUUCAAGCCCCCCUUCCUCCAGGCUAAUAAUCACAAUUGUCCCUGUCCCAGCACAGGCCGUCAGCCCCUCCUCCACCCAGGCCAGAAUCAGCGGCAGCAACCCUGGGCACCCCGACCUGCCCUGCCUGCCUGGCCCUUGGGGGACUUUAGCCACGCUCUGAGCCCAUUUCCUCACCUGUAAACCGGGGUGAAGACGUUUCCUCCCUGAGCACGAAAUGUUUUUCCACCUUCCUGCUUCAGACUUUCUGGACCAGUGGGGAAGAGGGGACCUCCUGGAGCUGACUCAGCACCAGAAAACAGUCCCCACCAGCUCUCUAAUUUGACCCCAGAUGUGUCUUUCUCCUUGAAUACGGCGGGACGGGCGGCUCCCUCCCUCACCACCUCCCCUUAGAGCCCUGGAUUCUUAUCUUGAGUGCAAAGCAGGGCCUUGCCCCGGGGCCCCAGUACACCUCUCCUCCCUCCCAUUAGUCCUUCCAGCUCACCUCAGUUCUCCACCAAAGGCUGAGCGUGCCAGCUAUCCACGGGCGCCUGCCCAGGGCUUCCCGGCUGUGGCCAGGGCAAGAGGACAAGACAAGCUCUUGGACAACCCACUCCGCCCCGGCCUUCUGGCUUCUGGAAAGCCCUGGGGAAUUCCAAGCUCACUGCUGGCCCCAGCCCAAGCUGCCACACCCUGCCUCUCCAGCAGCACCAUAGCCUCACCCACAAAUACUCUCUGCUGCCAUCCAUUCCUCAGCCCUGCCUCCUCCUCCAGGAAGCCUCCCUGGUGACCCCAGCCCCCAGGAACAAAUAGCAUUUAUCUUUAUGCAGAAUUGCAGAACUUUUAAAAUUUUAUUUUUGAGACAGAAUCUUGCUCUUGUCACCCAGGCUGGAGUGCAGUGGCACAAUCUCAGCUCACUGCAACCUCUGCCUCACAGGCUCAAACCAUCCUCCCACCUCAGCCUCCCGAGUAGCUGGGAAUACAGAUGCACUCCACUACACCCAGCUAAUUUCAUAUUUUUAGUAGAGACGGGGUUUCGCCAUAUUGGCCAGGCUGGUCUUGGACUCCUGGCCUCAAAGGAUUCACCCGCCUUGGCCUCCCAAAGUGUUGAGAUUACAGAUGUGUGCCACGGCGCCUGGCCUCAAACUUCUUUUACAGAUUCAUGCUUUGUGGGGUGUAGGGUCUCCCCUUUGUUUCUGACCAAGUGCCCAGUGUUUGGGGGCUGCCGUGAGCCCCUCCUCUGCUCCCCGUACACAGAAUGGAAGCCUGGCUGAGUGCUAGACCACUCGUUUUCUGGACAGGGUCAGGCAGGCAUACCUGGGAGCAACCACACCGCGCCCGCGCGUGGCUGAGGGACAGGUUUGGGAACCUUGGAAGCGCGUUAGGCCUGAAGCUCAGAAUGCAGAAGCUUGAGCCGAGUAUUGGGCAGCCAUGGAAAAUGCUGCACCGCCACCCUGCCCGGAAAAAGAGGCAAGGCAGAGAGGACUCUGCAUAAUGGCAUCUUUGAGCAGGCCUGUCCGCAGCCACAGGGCUCUCAACGGGUGUUAUCUGGUGAGAGGGUGCCAGUAGCUGUGGGGGAAGGUGCUGUGCCUGCCAGACCUGCAGCUCCUAGGCUGAGCCACUUUUGGCCAGGUCUCCCCCAACGCCGGAGCCCCAAGCCACAGGCCCCAGAGUCCCCUGUGCUGGUGGCUUUCCUGGAGGGGUGAACUUCGCUGAAAGUUACCAGGUGGCCAUCUGGUUAGCAUGGACAAGUCCAGCCUGGAGCUACUGAACUGGGGACACAGCCCAAUCCAAGGCACCUUCUCUUAACUCAGCCAUGUGCCACAACUGCCUGAAGGACUGUGGGCCAGCUCACGUUUGGACAGGGCCUUUUAGCCUCCCCCGAGCCCAGGCAGGUCAUUUUGCAGAUGAGGAAACUGAGGUUACAGAGGCUGACACAUGGUUCUCCAGGGUGUUAUGUGGCAGACGUAUCUUCACUCCCCUGGUGUCUGUCCCUGUCAUUUCUGGGUGGGGAAGGUGAAAGGGGUUUCCUGGCAGGAAUCAGUCUGGUUCCUACAAAGGGCCGAGGCCAUCAUGCUGGGGCUGAGGCAGAUGCCGGCCAGCAGGCUACAUAAGGCGGAGAGGACCACACGUCACCCUCAGUGGCCAGGAGCACCAGUGCCAGGGCGAGCAUCCUGUCAGUAGCAGGGAGGUGGGGUGCACCUAGUGUGUCUGGAGUUUGUCCCUUCCGGUGGGUUUGUAGUCUCGCUGACUUUAAGAAUGAAGCUGCGGACCUUCACAGUGAGUGUUACAGCUCUUAAAGGUGGUGUGUCCGGAGUUUCUUCCUUCCGGUGGGUUCCUGGUCUCGUUGACUUCAAGAAUGAAGCCGCAGCCCUUCACGGUGAGUGUUAACAGCUCUCAAAGGUGGUACAGACCCAAAGAGUGAGCAACAGCAAGAUUUACUGUGAAGAGGGAAUCAACGAAACUUCCACACCGUGGAACAGGACCCUAGGGAGUUGCUACUACUGGCCAGGGGUGGGGUGGGUGGCCAGCUUUUUUUAUUCCUUUAUUUGUCCUUGCCCACAUCCUGCUGAUUGGUCCAUUUUACAGAGCACUGAUUGGUCCAUUUUACAGACUGCUGAUUGGUCCAUUUUACAAACCUCCAGCUAGCCACAAAGCACGGAUUGGUGCAUUUUUACAGAGCACUGAUUGGCACAUUUACAAACCUCUGGCUAGCCACAGAGCAUUGAUUGGUGCAUUUUACAAUCCUAGCUACAGAGUGCUGAUUGGUGCAUUUUACAAUCCUCUCGUAAGACAGAAAAGUUCUCCAAGUCCCCACUGGACCCAGGAAGUCCAGCUGGCUUCACCUCUCGCUAGGGGCACCUGCAGGAGACGCAGCAGAUAUAGGCAUCUUUGAUCCCAUCUUCACUGGGUUUCCAUCCCCUCCAAGAAGAGUCCAGCGAGGCUCAGAGCCCAGCAGUCUGAGGCCGGAGCGUGAUGUCUUGAUGGAGUGCAGCAGCAGGCGGCCACAGGGGGGCUCCAGGUGGAGGCAGGGUGGACAGAGGGUGGCCUUGGAGGUGCGUGGGGCGGGGGCAGGGAGAGUCAGGGGCCUGAGCCAAGACCACGUUGUUGAUGGGAGCUGAGGCCCAGAAGACAGGUGCUGGGAAGGGCCAGGGAGUCUUCCAGAGUCAAGAUCCCAGAGCCUCCACCUCCCACCCAAUGCUGGGAUUUGUAGCUGGGGGUGGGCCGGAGACAGGAGGGGGACUGGGAAGAUGGCCCUGAUACUUUCCAGAGGAAGCCAGCUUUCUCAGGGGCUGCAGGAGCUGUUCGUUCAACAAACCUCAGACCUGUGCUCACCCCUGUGAGGUGGGGGGCGUGGGACCUGGGUUAGACCCAGUUCUGACCUUGCCCUCCAGAGCCCACAAGGAUAACGGGAGGCAGGCCUGGUCCUCACACCAGGUGCCCAGCAUCCUGCCCAGGCUGUGCUGGGGCUGACCACCCCACGAUGAGGGUCCAUUUCUACCCGCUCUGCUGCAGAAAGGACAGGGUCUGUCUAGGGACAGAUGUGGAGACCCUGAAAGAUGCAGCAGCAGGAUGGGCCUGGGUGGGAGGAGCUGGAGCUGGAGGAAGCUGGGCACCAGCUGUGAGCCCCACCUCACAUCUCCAGCUCACCUGGACUUCUCAGUAAUCCCUCAGGCUGGCCUGGGCUGCAGAGGGGGUCCCAGCUGUAUCAGCACGCAAGGCCUGCUCUGGGGCAGGCUGGGAAGCCCUGGUUUGUCAGAGAACUGAAACCACACUGAGCAGACGCGGCUGCAACCCAUGCAGAGAGAGAAGAGCAGCUUUCAGGGCUGCUGACUUUGCACUGGAACCCCAGAUGACUCCCACAGACCCUGCUAGACCUCUCCACCAGGCUGCAGCUUCCAGGAGGAGGAGAUGCCCCAUGGCUGAUGCAACAAGUUACCACAAACCUGGUGGCUAACACAAGUUUAUUCUCUACAGUUCUGGAGGCCACAAGUCUAAAGUCAGUUGUACGGGGUAAAGUCAAGGUGUCAGCGGGGCUGGUUCCCUCUGGAGGCUCCAGAGGAGAAGCUGCUCCUGGCCUCUGCCAGCUCCUAAGGGCUGCCAGCAUUCCUUGGCUUGUGGCCACAACCUCCAGUCUCUGCCUCCCUGGUCACGUCGCAUUCUCGUCUGUGUGUAAUCUCUCUUCCACCUUCUCUUCUGUGUGUAGUCUCUUUUCCUCUCUCUUGUAAGGACACUUGUGAUUACAUUUAGGGCCCACCUGGCUAACCCAGGACAACCUUUCCAUCCCAAGAUCCUUAGCUUCGCCAGGUGCAGUGGCUCACACCUGUAAUCCCAGCAUUUUGGGAGGCCGAGAUGGGUGGAUCACUUGAGGCCAGAAGUUUGAGAUCAGCCUGGCCAACAUGGUGAAACCCCCUCUUUAAUAAAAAAUACAAAAAUUAGCCAGUUGUGGUGCAUGCCUGUAAUCCCAGUUGCUCGGGAGGCUGAAGCAGGACAAUCCCUUGAACCCAGGAGGCAGUUUGCAGUGAGCCGAGAUUGUGCUAGUGCACUCCAUCCUGGGCAAGGAAGUGAGA